AUUGAACGCUGGCGGCAGGCCUAACACAUGCAAGUCGAACGGUAGCACAGAGAGCUUGCUCUCGGGUGACGAGUGGCGGACGGGUGAGUAACGUCUGGGAAACUGCCCGAUGGAGGGAGAUAACUACUGGGAACGGUAGCUAAUACCGCAUAACGUCGCAAGACCAAAGUGGGGGACCUUCGGGCCUCACACCAUCGGAUGUGCCCAGAUGGGAUUAGCGAGUAGGUGGGGUAAUGGCUCACCUAGGCGACGAUCCCUAGCUGGUCUGAGAGGAUGACCAGCCACACUGGAACUGAGACACGGUCCAGACUCCUACGGGAGGCAGCAGUGGGGAAUAUUGCACAAUGGGCGCAAGCCUGAUGCAGCCAUGCCGCGUGUAUGAAGAAGGCCUUCGGGUUGUAAAGUACUUUCAGCGGGGAGGAAGGCGGUGAAGUUAAUAACUUCACCGAUUGACGUUACCCGCAGAAGAAGCACCGGCUAACUCCGUGCCAGCAGCCGCGGUAA
rnacentral:rRNA from 1 species